rnacentral:rRNA from 1 species
CCUACGGGGGGCAGCAGUGAGGAAUAUUGGUCAAUGGGCGUAAGCCUGAACCAGCCAAGUCGCGUGAGGGAUGAAGGUUCUAUGGAUCGUAAACCUCUUUUAUAAGGGAAUAAAGUGGGGGACGUGUCCUGUUUUGUAUGUACCUUAUGAAUAAGGAUCGGCUAACUCCGUGCCAGCAGCCGCGGUAAUACGGAGGAUCCGAGCGUUAUCCGGAUUUAUUGGGUUUAAAGGGUGCGUAGGCGGCCUUUUAAGUCAGGGGUGAAAGUCUGGGGUUCAACCAUAGAAUUGCCGUUGAAACUGGGAGGCUUGAGUAUGUUUGAGGCAGGCGGAAUGCGUGGUGUAGCGGUGAAAUGCUUAGAUAUCACGCAGAACCCCGAUUGCGAAGGCAGCCUGCCAAGCCAUGACUGACGCUGAUGCACGAAAGCGUGGGGAUCAAACAGGAUUAGAUACCCUAGUAGUC